rnacentral:rRNA from 1 species
UACGAAGGGGCUAGCGUUGUUCGGAAUUACUGGGCGUAAAGCGUGCGCAGGCGGCUUCUCAAGUCAGGGGUGAAAGCCCAGAGCUCAACUCUGGAAUUGCCUUUGAGACUGAGUGGCUUGAGUACGAGAGAGGUGAGUGGAAUUCCCAGUGUAGAGGUGAAAUUUGUAGAUAUUGGGAAGAACACCGGUGGCGAAGGCGGCUCACUGGCUCGUAACUGACGCUCAUGCACGACAGCCGUGGGGAUCAAACAGG